rnacentral:tRNA from 3 species
GGCGGCGUAGCUCAGUUGGCUAGAGCAUUCGGUUCAUACCCGGAGUGUCAUUGGUUCGAGUCCAAUCGCCGCUACCA